GAAAUAUUGUCUCCAUUGUCAAAAUGUUGCUUAAUUCUGCGCUCCAGUACAUCUGGAAACAAGCCAACCUUCUUCAAUAUAUAAGUAUCUAUGUUUGAAAUUUUUGAUGCUCCAAAAUCACCCUUCUCAUAAAGUUUCUUUCCAGCACCAGCUGAAAUCCGGAACAAUUCAUCUACUUUUUCUUGAUUACCGUUUGCAUCUUCUUCCGCCAAAACCCUGUGAAUGUACUGAUCUACAUUCUUAGAUAAUAGCCACACACCAUACUUGCGCACUUCUACCAACGGCAUCUCCAUCCCAGAUGGGGCAGUUGGCCAUCGUAACAGUGCAGUUACAGAAUCUGAACUCCUUCUGGAAAGAGGAAUCACUAGAGGAACCAGCCCUUGCUUGGCACCAGGAGAAAUUAUUUCUUCACCUCUCACCUGAAGGAUUUUGAGAAGUUCAUUCAAAUGUUCCGGUGCUUGAGUUGCAGCUACAUCUUUGAUAAAUGAUACAUGGUCUGGAGAAGAAGAAGAGGAAUAGCAUCGGAAUGUUGGUCGGCAGCGGCUGAAUAAAAUGCCGGGAAAUGCGACGGCGCGUGGACAUCCAAAACCCACUCCACCACCCAACUUCAU
rnacentral:misc_RNA from 1 species